rnacentral:rRNA from 1 species
GCAAGUCGAGGGAGAAGUUUGAUGCUUGCAUUGAAUGGGAACCGGCGAACGGGUGCGUAACACGUAUGCAACCUACCUAUAACUGGGGGAUAGCCCGAAGAAAUUCGGAUUAAUACCCUAUAAUAUUUACUCAUCGCAUGAUGUAGUAUCUUAAAACUCCGGUGGUUAUAGAUGGGCAUGCGGUCUAUUAGUUAGUUGGUGAGGUAACGGCUCACCAAGACUACGAUAGAUAGGGGGUCUGAGAGGGGGAUC